UACGUAGGGGGCUAGCGUUGUCCGGAAUCAUUGGGCGUAAAGCGCGUGUAGGCGGUUCGGUAAGUCCGCUGUGAAAGUCGGGGGCUCAACCCUCGGAAGCCGGUGGAUACUGUCGAGCUAGAGUACGGAAGAGGCGAGUGGAAUUCCUGGUGUAGCGGUGAAAUGCGCAGAUAGUCGGGAGGAACACCUAGUGGCGAAGGCAGCUCGCUGGGACGUUACUGACGCUGAGACGCGAAAGCGUGGGGAGCAACAGG
rnacentral:rRNA from 1 species